GUCCUUUAAUCCCUGGCCUUAUCUUAUAGUUAGGAUAGCUUUAUGCCUACCCCACGCAUGCUUAAACUUCUUUACUGUGUUAACCUCUACCACUUCAGCUGGAAGGCAAUUCCAUGCAUCCACUACCCGCAUAAGGCGAGAAAAUACAGUGGAAUGGACCAACACCUUAGUCGCAUCUGGCGUUAAGUAGGGGCGGAUGCACGCAAUGUUUUUGAGAUGGAAAUGACAGGAUUUGGCGAUAGAUUGAACAUGAGGCUUGAAGGAGAGGUCGGAAUCAAAGAGAACAAAAGAGAACACCUAGGCAGCAAGCCUGCAUGGUGGAGCUGAUGGUAGCACCGUUGACUUGGAGGGAGACAGACACAGGAGUAACAACACUUGAAGGAAGAAAAAACAGAAUUUCAGUUUUGGUCAAGUUUAGUUUAAGGAAGUGGGCAGCCAUCCAGUUAGAAACAGCAGAGAGGCAGUCAGAGACACUAGUCAAGAGGGACGGGGAAAGAUCAGGAGAGGACAGGUAGAUUUGCGUGUCAUCUGCAAAGAAAUGAUAUUGGAAGCCAAAGGAGCUAAUAAG